GCAUAUAAGUAAGCGGAGUAAAAGAAACUAAAUAGGAUUCCCUCAGUAAUGGCGAAUGAACAGGGAUGAGCUCAGUAUGGAAAUUGGGGCCUGUGGCCUUGAAUUGUAGUCUGGAGAUGUACUACCAACUGGGGCGCAGAUGUAAGCCUCUUGGAAAAGAGCAUCAAUGAGGGUGAGAGUCCCGCUUGGCAUCUGCAGUCCCCAGUGCACGGUGUACCUUCUAAGAGUCACGUUCCUCGGGAUUGGAGCGCAAAUUGGGUGGUAAAUUUCAUCUAAAGCUAAAUAUUGUUUCGAGACCGAUAGCAAACAAGUACCAUGAGGGAAAGGUGAAAAGGACUUUGAAAAGAGAGUUAAAAGUGCCUGAAAUUGCUGAAAGGGAAGCGAAUGGAACCAGCGUAACUUGGUGAGAUUGCUGCGUAUCAAUGUGAUUGCUUGCUGCUUCAACGUAAGUGUGGUAGUAAGUCUUGAGCAGGACAUGCGUGGUGCUUCUUGCCUUGUGUGUCACUACCAGUUCACAGCUGGGGAAAACUUCAGGGACAUGGUAUCCUGUCUCCGGGUGGGUGAACGUGUCUGCUGGAACUCAUUUGUGGACUGCUUGGUGACUAAAUGGUUCCAUCUGACCCGUCUUGAAACAC
rnacentral:rRNA from 1 species